GACAGAGGGUGCAAACGUUGUUCGGAAUUACUGGGCGUAAAGCGCGUGUAGGCGGCUAAGUAAGUCGGGCGUGAAAUCCCACGGCUCAACCGUGGAAGUGCACUCGAAACUGCAUAGCUAGAGUCCUGGAGAGGAAGGUGGAAUGCUUGGUGUAGAGGUGAAAUUCGUAGAUAUCAAGCGGAACACCGGUGGCGAAGGCGGCCUUCUGGACAGUGACUGACGCUGAGACGGCGAAAG
rnacentral:rRNA from 1 species